rnacentral:lncRNA from 1 species
GCCGCCGUGCCGGAGUUGUGAUUUGGUCCGAAAGGGGCCCUGGGCCUAAUUUGGAUUUUUUUUGGAACACGUGCAGGUACUGUUAGUGUGUUUCAGUUCCCCGGGAAAAAUUCAGGGAAAAUUAGGGACGGCCUGCAGGCGCACUGUGAAUCGUAUUCGGAUCCCGAAAACAAGUAAGGACCCCUCACCCUAUUUCCUAUCACGGUAUUAAAUUUCAAAAUGAUA